rnacentral:lncRNA from 1 species
UUGCCUCUUCACUUAGGAGGUCUUUGACUCUAUGCAAGGACAAAAUUAAACAUCCACAAACAUUGCCUCUUAAGGAGGACUUCAGACAGUUGCCUGGCCAAGUAACAGGCCAGGUCUUCCAGACUACAUGAAGUUAGGAAGUUACCUCAAUGCAAAUUGCUUAUACAAGCAAAGCAAAGCAAAAGUUCACAAGGAACUGAGCA